rnacentral:rRNA from 1 species
GACGAACGCUGGCGGCGUGCCUAAUACAUGCAAGUCGAACGAGAGCGACCGGUGCUUGCACUGGUCAAUCUAGUGGCGAACGGGUGAGUAACACGUGGGUAACCUGCCCAUCAGAGGGGGAUAACAUCCGGAAACGGAUGCUAAAACCGCAUAGGUCUUCGAGCCGCAUGGCUUGAAGAGGAAAAGAGGCGCAAGCUUCUGCUGAUGGAUGGACCCGCGGUGCAUUAGCUAGUUGGUGAGGUAACGGCUCACCAAGGCCGUGAUGCAUAGCCGACCUGAGAGGGUGAUCGGCCACAUUGGGACUGAGACACGGCCCAAACUCCUACGGGAGGCAGCAGUAGGGAAUCUUCCGCAAUGGACGCAAGUCUGACGGAGCAACGCCGCGUGAGUGAAGAAGGUGUUCGGAUCGUAAAACUCUGUUGUUAGAGAAGAACAAGUGCUAGAGUAACUGUUAGCGACUUGACGGUAUCUAAACAGAAAGCCACGGCUAACUACGUG